ensembl:lncRNA
GUCCACCGCGUCGACACUGGAGCGGACCUUGUCGGAACUACAGACCUGUCUCCCACUCUGGCGGCUGCGGACCGGACAGACAGCCAGGGAGAGAAGUGGACAGCAAGCAAUCAAUUUUCCUCUCCGGCCAUGGUGACCAAGUCCCUGCCCGGGCCCUUUCCAGGUUCAACAGACCUGUUGCACCCAGAGAAGAGCCCCAAACCGAUCGGCGCGCCAAGAGCCCCGAGACUCUGCUUGCCAAUAUCCCGAGAGCCCAGCACCGACGGGGAAAUGUGGGAAGCUCCCAGACGCAAUUGAGUAAUCAUCUCAGUGUUCAGGGCCCCUCUUCCUACCCACUGAGAUAGCGGCAAAUAACUCACUAACCCGGGAGGGCAAUGGAGAGGCGGAAGCCCUGUCUACUGAAAACGAACAUCUAGCGCAGGUGCGUGCUAGUCUCGCCUUUCCAUCCGCCGGGUCCUUGCCUAGCGGUCAGAAUCCCGCGGUCAGGUCUCUGGAGCCCCUCCCCGGCAAAUCCGAGCUUCUAGCUUCAGCACCAGAAGCUGGACAGCGCCCUGCCCGCUGAGCGCGGGACGAUCCCUGGGACGCCGCGCAGAGGAGUGCCUGAGGACAAACUCUCCUAUAAGCCUGGCAGCCUGCAGGAUGCCUUCACAACUGAGGAUCAAAUGUGUGACCCUUGUACUCAGCUGCAUCCCUAGCCCUCUUUUUAUUUUGAAACAAGGUCUUGCUAAGUCACUAAGUUGCCCAGGCUUAGCCUUCGAGAGUGACGACAUUACAGGUGGGCACCACCCCUACACGACCACCUCCAGCUCUUCCUGUUUCCCACCCUCCUUCAAUGUACAGUUCUUUGUGAUUCAUGAAGAAAAGGUAGAAAGAUCUACAUCUCCCUUUACUUCUAACCAUAGCAAAGCCAGUGGGCAGCCAGUUCUAUUAGAAAUCUCAUUCACACUUGAGAAGUCUGCAAAUUGGCAUCGCUCAGCAGGUGUCUGCUCCUCACGGCCGGAUGUCAGGAUGAGCAGAGCAGGGGGACAGCGGACUCAAGAGUCAGUCUCUCCUGGCAGCAUCUGGGGCUGGAGCCAGGUAAACGGGCAGAAAGCCUACUUCCGGAAACAAGCAUCUGGGGAGUGGGGUCCGCUCCUGGUUGGAGAGGUGGAUGCAGGGGCCCCUGUUGGUGCGCAGAGGAGGGAGUCCUGGCUCUGAAGUCAAACACGCACGUGUCCAUCUUGGCUGCACCCCUGCACAGGUGUGUGACUUUAAGCCAGUCACUUAACGUCUUUGAGCCUUGGAUCCUUGAACUGCAGGAUGGAAUUAGUCACCUCCACCGUGGCAGGUUGUUGGGACAAGUCGGUCGUGGAUGCAGAGCUGCACAGGCACAGACUCCCCCUCCCCCACUGUCCCCUUCCCGGAAGUCAGGGCGCCCGGGAACCUCGAACCACGGUGGAGUUGUAGCCACGCCUAAGGGGUGACCCUUCCCCUCCCCAGGUCACUAUGCCCUGCAAUUCGCGGAAGAAUGAACGCACCCCAACCCCCUCCCCACCGCAAAACCACAGAAAUCAAGGACUAGAAUUUGUGGCUUGCCUCUAAGUCACUCAGCAAGAUUCACAAUUUAGUGCUUCGUGAGGUGAUCUUCUAGGUAGCCCAAAAAGGGCCUCGGGUUCCUCACCCUCACCCAUCACCCGACUUUCGCGGUCCUGGUCCAGCGCUCACAUCGCAACUGCAAGUUUCCCUGGAUGUGCGGGGAUGCGGCGCCCUCUGCUGGGCCUUCGAUGCAACUGCUCGUUAGGCGAGCAAGGGUGGAGAGUAAAAUUUCCCUGGAUCAAAUCCUUCCGGUCUUUCAUUAAAAUACUGUGCGAAAUUAACCUGGAUCUAUGAGUCCUGGAAAUUCUUAGAAGCUAGGGGCACUAUACAAGUGCCACAAUCGUCUUGGUGACAGGCCAUGUCCUGGUAGGUCCAAAGUCCAGCCACAGUGGGGUCAUGAGUGCCAGUAGAGCCAGCUGUGGUGGCAUGGGCCUGUAAUCCCAGCACUCCGGGAAGCUGAGGCAAAAGGGUUGCAAGUCUGAGCUCAGCCUGGGCAGUUUAGCGAUUUAAUGAGACCUUGUCUCAACAUUAAAAAAAAAUUUUGUUUAAAUACCUCAGUUUGAAAGACCUGGGUUCAAUUCCCAGUACCCGCCCCCCACCCCACACACAAGGGAAGCUGCUUGACUUACAGUUAGCCCCCAGAGUUUUGUCAGCUUCGUUCCCUCUAACUCAAGGGGUCUUAAACUCAGCCCUGCACCAGGAUCAGCUGCUAACCAGUCAGCUCGGUAGAAUACAGAUCACUGGGCCCCCACCUGGCUAUCUCACUCCAGGUCCAACAAAUUCCCAGCCAAGCUCUAGGCUGCUGCUCUGGGUCCACACUGAGAGAACCACUGCUCUGAAAAUUGGUCAGAUCAAUACACCCUUUCAGGUCUACGACUGGCUCAGAUCCAUGAGGAUCCCCACAGCCCACCCGAAGCCCUCAAAGUGGUGCCCACAGCAGGCAUAAUAGUGCCUGGAUGGUCCAUAAGGAUUCGUGCUCGAAAAGCAGAUCGUGUCUCCAGAUGUCUCAUGUGCUCCGGGAUUGAAACUGUGGGGUCCCUGGGGGAAGGGUUUGACCAUAUGCUUUCCUCACCAGGUUCCACCCCAAAGGGUUCUAUUACAGAGAAGCCCUGGCCUUUGAAAGAGGAGCUAUUUUCACUCUAAGAGCUGGUAAGUAGCUGGGCAUGGUGGCACAUAUCAUAAUCGCCGCAAUCUGAAGGCUGAGGUAGGAAAAUCAAAAGUUCUAUUCCACUCUGGGUAACUUAGUGAGUUAGAGAGACUUUGUCUCAAAAUUUAAAGUUUUAAAAAUGGGUUGGGGGGCCAAGAAUUUAGCUCAGUGGUGCCACCACCCGCCUCGCAAGCGCAAGGUCCCAAAUUCAAUCCCAGUACCAAAAAAAUAAAAAGUAAAAAAAUAGAAAUGGGUUGGGGACAUUGCUCAGAACAAAGGCUCUGCAUGCAUUCCCCAAUACCGCAGAAAUAAAGAGUUGGUAGGUAGGCUGAGUAGCUUCCUAAAGAAGCAGGAUUAGGGGUACUGCUGUCCCCAGUGACAUGCAGUAUGGAGGCCAUCAUCACUGGGGUCUCAAACUGUUUUGCUUAAUAAUGUUCUUACCAAGAAUCUAAGUAGUGGGGCAGGGAUUUAGCUCAAUGGUGCCUUGCCUGCCUCACAAGCACAAGGUCCCCAAUUCGAUCCCCCAUACUAAAAAAAAAAGAAUCUAAGUAGUUACAAAGGUUGUAUUGAUAUCUUUAUAAAAUAUGCCAAAUAACUGCAAUGAAAUCUGAAUAGCAGAGUGAUUUGAUAUUAAUCAUAUCUUUUUUUUUUUUUUUGGUACCGGGAUCAAACUUGGGACCUUGCGCUUGUGAGGCAGGCAGUGGAACCACUGAGCUAAAUCCACGGCCCCAGUCAUAUCCAUUUUUAAGGUACAUGGAAAAAAAAAUUCUCCUUAUUGACAGUGUUGAGUUUUACCCUCAAACUGUGCUCUAACAAAACAGCAAUGGGUUUGGAAACCCUUCCCUCCCAAUGCUUUUGUGUUCUAGAAACAACUUACUACCAAGAAGCACCCUCCCCCACCCAGCUGAGAUAAAACUCCUGGAUUCCCCUCUGGGACUCCCCGUGUGACAUCUAGUCAAAGCCAGACACAGCCACUUCCCGUUUCCAUCUUUGCUCCAUGGGACCCACUAAACUGCUUGGCCCACUGAUCAAGCAGAAGAAAAUGCUCGCUCUCAUCUACUACCCAUCUCUUCUGUUCCUUCCACUUCCCACACCCACUUUUUACCAGACUCAUCCCCUAAAAAAGCAGAUGUGUGCCCCGGCAGGGGUACACAUCUGUAAUACUAGCAUUCUGAGAGGAGGAGGCUGGAGUACCACACAAGUUUGAGGUCAGCCUGAGGUGGAAUAAAAGAAAUAAAAGAGAAAGAGGAAAUCAUAACUAAACAUUGUACUUUUAAGAAGAUUCCAGCUUCUAGGACCCAGCCCAUAUUACCGAGGGUGAUCCAUAUCAGUAUUUCCUUGGUUAAAUUUAGGCUCUGGUCCUGGCAGAUCUAGCACACCCCAAAUUCCUCAGGAAUACUGAAAGUCUAUAAAUUGGAUUAAUUGAGAAAAUAAAGAGCAGAAACUUGACCCCAAAAUAAAGGAGCCGGUGGAGAAAAUUCAAAAGUGUUUAAAUUUUCUAUUAAAAAAAAACACCUGCACAUGCCUAUAGAAUGGGCUAGUACUUUUGGGGGGCACCGUUUCCCAGGGUUUCCAUCCCUGCAAGAGAAGCAUAAAUGUUCCCUGUUCCAGGAAAUAACACACCUCAUUUCUCUGAGCACCUGCACUUCAUUCUUUCUUUCUUUGUGUGUGUGUGUGUGUGUGUGUGUGUGUGUGUGUGUGCCGGGGAUCAAACUUAGGACCUCGUGCUUGCCAGGCUCCCAUUUGCCAGGCAGGCACUGUGCCACUGAGCUAAAUCCCUGGUCCUGCACUCCAUUUUUGUGUGUCCUAAAAUCUCUGCCUAAUAAACUCUUAACUUGCCUCUUACAGAAGAGUCUUGAAAAUUCUUUUUUCACAAUGCGAGUCAUCGAACCUGCACUUCUUCUACAAAAGAUUGGGUCAAGUUCCUUAUUUCAGUUUCAGGCUCUCAGACCCAGCCCAGUGACAAGCCUGGACAACUUAGUGACUUAGUGAGACCCUGCUGGGCAUUUAAUGGGUUCAACCCCAUUUUCUCUCCCCUCAAAUCAGCUCUUUGUGUAACCCUUGAGAUAUUGUAGAUUUUAUGGAUUGUUCUUCCUAUUGUGUACUCUUAGCAUCCUGCAUCACACCCUCAAAAUAACCCUUUUAAAUAAAGUCUCCCUUUACUCAAUCCGGACUAUUUUUUUACAUUCUAUGCAGCAUUCUUUACAUUUGGCUCCUGCUACAGCGUUUUAUGCAAGCUUAUUGUAUAGAACACCCUUGUGCUUUCCUGUCCCAAGAAUAUGUUGAUAAAUUUGAACUCGCUAAUUCUGAAAAUUUUUCUGUGAUCAUAAAGCUGUAAGUGUUCAUUUGUUAUGCAAUAUCAGUACCUCACUUAAAAUAAAUACACAGAAUUUUCAUUAAAAUAAAUACACAGCAUUCAUAAGAAUCUUUCAGAUUUCCGCAACAACCUCAAAUUCUUUGUCACAG